rnacentral:rRNA from 1 species
AUACGGAGGACGCGAGCGUUAUCCGGAUUCAUUGGGUUUAAAGGGUGCGCAGGCGGCCGUGCAAGUCAGCGGUGAAAGCCCGGGGCUCAACCCCGGAAGUGCCGUUGAUACUGCAUGGCUGGAAUGCGGUCGAGGCGGGCGGGACGUGGCGGGGAGCGGUGAAAUGCGUAGAUAUGCCACAGAACGCCGAGAGCGGAGGCAGCUCGCCAGGCCUGCAUUGACGCUCGGGCACGAAAGCGUGGGGAUCGAACAGGAUUAGAUACCCGGGUAGUCCACGCCGUAAACGAUGGGCGCUCGUCGUCGGCGGCAGACAGUCGGCGGCCAAGCGAAAGCGAUAAGCGCCCCACCUGGGGAGUACGGUCGCAAGGCUGAAACUCAAAUGAAUUGACGGGG